GAACGCGAAGAACCUUACCAGGUCUUGACAUCCCUCUGACCACUCUAGAGAUAGAGUUUUCCUUCGGGACAGAGGUGACAGGUGGUGCAUGGUUGUCGUCAGCUCGUGUCGUGAGAUGUUGGGUUAAGUCCCGCAACGAGCGCAACCCCUAUUGUUAGUUGCCAUCAUUCAGUUGGGCACUCUAGCGAGACUGCCGGUAAUAAACCGGAGGAAGGUGGGGAUGACGUCAAAUCACCAUGCCCCUUAUGACCUGGGCUACACACGUGCUACAAUGGCUGGUACAACGAGUCGCAAGCCGGUGACGGCAAGCUAAUCUCUUAAAGCCAGUCUCAGUUCGGAUUGUAGGCUGCAACUCGCCUACAUGAAGUCGGAAUCGCUAGUAAUCGCGGAUCAGCACGCCGCGGUGAAUACGUUCCCGGGUCUUGUACACACC
rnacentral:rRNA from 1 species